GUGCAUUUUACUUUGCUUGAAAUAUAGUUUUGAAAUAUACCAAAACAUUGACAGAGUGUGUUUGUCAUUCAACUGUAUAUAAACUAAAAAAAAAAAAAAUCCUGUUAAAAGUCGUGUCCAUGAAAGGGAACAUGAAUUCUUUUCAAGUCGUAAUUUCAUUAAAAAUAUAUAAAUAAUAAUAAUAAAGUGUAUGUCAUCUUUACUAUUUCAGAAACCUCAUCAGUGGGACAAUAACUCAAUUAUGAUAUGUGAGUUUUGUGGAAACGUAAAGUGUGUGGAAGAAGCAUCACAGAAGUAUCCAGUAUGUUUAAGUAACUGAAACAUUCUAAGAUUAAACUUGGACAUUUUGAGGAGAGAUUCAGUCAACCUGUUCACAGUAAAUUAAAUAAAAGCAGAAUUAAUGCGGAUAACGACUGUGCCACUUCUGUCAACGUUCAUAGCAGCUGGACAGAUACACUGUUGAUCAAAUUAAAGUUUUCAGCAGCAAAGGAGCUUCUGGACAAAAGAUAUCACACACAUUGCAGUUGCAGACAAGUGCGAAGAUAUACACUUCAAAUGAGACUGUGUCAUAAAGAGUCUGUGUGUGUAUCUCAAUGGGGACAUUACAACACUUCCAGUUCUCCAGAAUUCUUCCAGAAUUCCAGGACUGCAAUCCUGAAGGAACUGAGGGAGGAAUUUCUGAGACCACUCUGGGCCCUUUUGUGACCCUUAAAGAAAGCUCUAAGGAUGAGCCAGUGGAUGUUG